AUUGAACGCUGGCGGCAGGCCUAACACAUGCAAGUCGAGCGGAGCGGCGGACGGGUGAGUAAUGCCAGGAAACUGGCUGGGAGUGGGGGGAAACGUUCGGAAACGGGGGCUAAUACCCCCAUCUAUCCGAUGAGCCUAGGUCGGAUUAGCUAGUUUGUGGGGGAAAGGCCUACCAAGGCGACGAUCCGGAACUGGUCUGAGAGGAUGAUCAGUCACACUGGAACUGAGACACGGUCCAGACUCCUACGGGAGGCAGCAGUGGGGAAUAUUGGACAAUGGGCGAAAGCCUGAUCCAGCCAUGCCGCGUGUGUGAAGAAGGUCUUCGGAUUGUAAAGCACUUUAAGUUGGGAGGCGUUACCAACAGAAUAAGCACCGGCUAACUUCGUGCCAGCAGCCGCGGUAAUUC
rnacentral:rRNA from 1 species